CCUACGGGGGGCAGCAGUGGGGAAUAUUGGGCAAUGGAGGCAACUCUGACCCAGCAACGCCGCGUGAAUGAUGAAGGUCUUCGGAUUGUAAAGUUCUGUGAUGGGGGAUGAACACAAUGACGGUACCCCAAUAGCAAGCCACGGCUAACAACGGGCCAGCAGCCGCGGGAAAACGGAGGUGGCAAGAGUUAUCCGGAAUGACUGGGCGUAAAGGGUGCGGAGGGGGGUGAGGAAGGUGGCGGUGUAAUGGCGGGGCUCAACCUCGGCGCUACCGACAAAACGAUUGGACUCGAGUGAGGGAGGGGUAAGUGGAAUUCCUAGUGUAGCGGUGGAAUGCGUAGAUAUUAGGAGGAACAUCACGGGCGAACGCGACUUACUGGACUGUAACUGACACUGCUGCACCAAAGCGUGGGGAGCAAACAGGAUUAGAUACCCCUAGUAGUC
rnacentral:rRNA from 1 species